UCAAUUUAUAUAAAUUUAGAGGUCAAUUUCUCAAGUCCUAUUCGGUUUCUGAUUGAAUCAGGCGAUAAUUGUCAAAUGCUUGAUGAACUGCUCCUUGUCUUUUGGGUCUUGAGGAAUCAAGUAACUGAGACCUAUUUACUUAUUAGGAUUGAUUUUCUGUAAACUAGUUGUCAAUGUAAAGUUGUCUUCGUUUUCAAAUUUGCUUUCUGUCCAAUUUUUGUUGGAUUCGGAUACUAUUUGGAUCCAUGUUUGUUUUGGUCAAACAGUAUUUCAAUUGCUUGUAUCGUUGAGUAUAUUUUUUAUUCUAAUUGAAAUGGGUAGGUGCUGUUUUCUUUGAUUUCUGCUUUCAUGAUUUGUGAUUUUCUCUUCUUUGUUCUGAGAAUCAAUUUGGAGGUUGAGAAAGUGUGGUUUUUUAGUCUAGUUUUAACUAAUUAAUUGAAAGAUUGAGGAACAUUCUCCCAUCUUUUUGUCUAAUUUGAUUUUUACAUUGUUUUGGGUGUCCUCAGGGGUUGUCAUGAACUUUUCACAUGAUAUGGAUGAUGAAUAUGAGAAAAUUUGCAGGAGAAUGAACCCACCAAGGGUUGUAGUUGAUAAUGAAGCCUGCAAGAAUGCUACGGUAAUAAGGUUGGGCUAUCGGCCGCUGACACAGUUGAUCAGGUGAAGUGUAAAACAAUUGCUAUCUGCCUGCAUGAAGAUCACCAAAGCCUGGUUCGAUUGAAACAACAAUCUAAUUUAAAAUAUGGUGUAAAAGUUGUGAAGUCAGAUGAACAGGUUCAUCUUGUUAAAAGGAUGAGCAAAUGUAAGCCGUCCAAACUGAAUUGAACAGCAUUGAAACUCGUAUCCACAAUCCUUUAGCAUUAAGAUGCCAAUAGCAGCACUUACUCAACUGGCACAGGAGCAAUCUCAACAGAUCCAAGAGUUGCCAUCAGUUGCAAUGGAAGGGUAUGUGUCUUUACUUGGACACUAGGAUGCGAAACUUUAGGAGAGUUUGUUUUUGAAGCAUAUUGCUGGUAUCUAUGAUUCAUCUCAUAAGUAAUUAUUAUGGACGUCUGGGAGAACAAUGACCCCUUGUAUGUUGCUCGUCAAUGAAUGAAAUCUGUGUAGGAGGCUAA